UGGUAAAAGAAGUCUGAUUAUUUUGUCUGUUUUGUGUUCACUUCCUGUUUUAUUUUGUAAUAGUCCCAACUCUUGUUUUAAGUAACUUGCACUUACCGUGUGUUUCUUGCCAGUCUGAUUGUCUUCUCCGAAAUGAUUGUUUCCACCUGUUGCCCAUUACAUUGUGUGUGUUGCUAUAUAUAGUUUGUGUUUCUUUUUGUCCUGUGCUAGUUUGUGUUUACUAGUGAGUCUUAUUUCUAAGCCAUGUGUUCCAUUCCAUGAUCUUAAGUUAAGUCAAAUGUUGUGCUAUCACUGCACUAAUUAUUAAUCAAAGGACUGUGUUUUGUUUGAUACUUUGUCUUGUUUUGUUUCUUUAGCCACUAGUUUUGCUCAAUAAGGUAGAUUUUGUGUUUGUUGUACUAUUUGGCUUUUCCUCUUUGAUGUAUUUUCUGUAGUACUUUUUUCGUUGAGGUAUUAUUCAUUUGAACUUUAUUCCGUUUGCUUUUGUCGUACAUUUGGGUUCAAAUGUAGUCCGGACGUGACGGCUAUUGUAUUUUCCCAACUUGCUUUUUAGCAUCCAGUUUCUGAUGGCUUGUGGUAAAAAUCUGGUGUUCACUUAGAUUCAGAGUGGACAGGAGCUGAAUGGGAUGCUAAUUCACACGGUCUUUAAGACCAAAGCUCUGUCUGUACGUGAGACCAAGGACUGUUUUAGUAAGUGUGAGAUUUUUCUAGUGUGUGGGUGUUUAAAUAUCUAUUUCUUUCUCUGAGACUGAGAAUGGCUGUUCACCAACUUCACCCAUUAUAAACACAUCAAACAUGCAAGCAGAAAAUGACAGCGAGGAUGUUUGGGUUGUAGUUGACGUUAAUCAGCUUCAUGCAGAGAGGGGGAGUAAUGGAACCAUUGGGACUGAUACCAGCAGUCAUGAUGGAGAUGAAAAUCUGGUCAUGUAGAUGGGCAUGGGUCCAACCACUCAGCCAGCAGUAGUGUUCAUGUUAAAAGAGAUGAGACCACUGGUGCCAGUGGGCAGGAUGAUGACUAUUCAUAUUUGAGACUUGUUUCUUCUUCUCCUCCUUACUUUUCUGAUGAGGAAUUACAACAAGCUAUAAUUGCCAGUAUGGAGAGUCAAACGUCAGAAAAGGUUCCUGUCCAAGAAAUAUUACUGGAACUUUCAAGCAAAUUAAACACAAAAAGGCAGUGUAAAUUUAACAUAAAUCGCACUGCUGUAUGGGAGGGAGCUAUACGAGGCUUCCAAAGGUUGUCCUAUGGCUCCAAUUUUCUGAUGUAUGUAAAACAUUGGGCAACAUUGCCAGGUCACCCAUGUUUGAGGGGGAAAAAAGAACAAGAACUUGGUGCUUUCCAGUACAGAUUUCUGCUAUCAUUGUGCAGCUCUCAGAGGGGACUGGGACUACUUUGCUGGCAGAGCCAUUGCAGCGAGCUUGGUACAUGGUGGUCCACCACCAAACGUCCUUUCUCCAGUACUAUUUAGUUUUCUGGUCAAUGGUUCAGCAAAUCGAAAAGUCCAAGAUAUAGCUGACACCGAACUCAUGGGUAAAGUAAAAAAGUGUGUUCCUGAUCCACGUAAUUCCUGCCACCAAGCCAGCCGCCUGUCCUCACCACUACCUGCCACCUGUCCACACCGCCGCCUGCCAACCCACCUUUCAUCAAUAAACUAUUCAUC